GAUGAACGCUGGCGGCGUGCCUAAUACAUGCAAGUCGAGCGAACGGACGAGAAGCUUGCUUCUCUGAUGUUAGCGGCGGACGGGUGAGUAACACGUGGAUAACCUAUCUAUAAGACUGGGAUAACUUCGGGAAACCGGCGCUAAUACCGGAUAAUAUUUUGAACCGCAUGGUUCAAAAGUGAAAGACGGUCUUGCUGUCACUUAUAGAUGGAUCCGCGCUGCAUUAGCUAGUUGGUAAGGUAACGGCUUACCAAGGCAACGAUGCAUAGCCGACCUGAGAGGGUGAUCGGCCACACUGGAACUGAGACACGGUCCAGACUCCUACGGGAGGCAGCAGUAGGGAAUCUUCCGCAAUGGGCGAAAGCCUGACGGAGCAACGCCGCGUGAGUGAUGAAGGUCUUCGGAUCGUAAAACUCUGUUAUUAGGGAAGAACAUAUGUGUAAGUAACUGUGCACAUCUUGACGGUACCUAAUCAGAAAGCCACGGCUAACUACGUG
rnacentral:rRNA from 1 species